rnacentral:rRNA from 1 species
UGAUGGCUUAGUGAGGCCCUCGGAUUGGUUUAAAGAAGGAGGCAACUCCAUCUUGUAACUGAGAAGUUGGACAAACUUGGUCAUUUAGAGGAAGUAAAAGUCGUAACAAGGUUUCCGUAGGUGAACCUGCGGAAGGAUCAUUACAGUUAUUAAUUCCAGCCAGCGCUUAACUGCGCGGCGGGAACUAAUCUUACACACUGUGUUUUUUGUUAUUACAAGAACUAUUGCUUUGGCUUGGCCUUCGGGUUGGGCCAGAGUGCUGUGAACUUCAAUUUUAUUGAAUUGUUUUUUUAACCAUAAGUCAAUUUGUUUGAUUAAAUUCAAAAUAAUCUUCAAAACUUUCAACAACGGAUCUCUAGGUUCUCGCAUCGAUGAAGAACGCAGCGAAAUGCGAUAAGUAAUAUGAAUUGCAGAUUUUCGUGAAUCAUCGAAUCUUUGAACGCACAUUGCGCCCUUUGGUAUUCCAAAGGGCAUGCCUGUUUGAGCGUCAUUUCUCCUUCAAACCCCCGGGUUUGGUAUUGAGUGAUACUCUUAGUCAGACUAGGCGUUUGCUUGAAAAGUAUUGGCAUGAGUGCGCUAGAUAGUGCCUCCGAUUAUUCAAUGUAUUAGGUUUAUCCAACUCGUUGAACGGUCGGGACGUAAAUUUCUGGUUGCUGGCUCGGCCUUACAACAACAAACAAGUUGACGCAUAUCAAUAAGCGGAGGAAAAGAAACCAACAGGGAUUGCCUUAGUAGCGGCGAGUGAAGCGGCAAUAGCUCAAAUUUGAAAUCUGGCGCCUUCGGCGUCCGAGUUGUAAUUUGAAGAAGGUAUCUUUGGUUUUGGCUCUUGUCUAUGUUCCUUGGAACAGGACGUCACAGAGGGUGAGAAUCCCGUGCGAUGAGAUGCCCAAUUCCAUGUAAAGUUCCUUCGACGAGUCGAGUUGUUUGGGAAUGCAGCUCUAAGUGGGUGGUAAAUUCCAUCUAAAGCUAAAUAUUGGCGAGAGACCGAUAGCGAACAAGUACUGUGAAGGAAAGAUGAAAAGAACUUUGAAAAGAGAGUGAAAAAGUACGUGAAAUUGUUGAAAGGGAAGGGCUUGAGGUCAGACUUGGUUUUACCAGGCCAGCAUCAGUUUGGGUGGCAGGAUAAGUGCGUAGGAAAGUGGCUCCACCUCGGUGGCGUGUUAUAGCCUGCGUCGAUACUGCCUGCCUAGACUGAGGACUGCGUCUU